GAUUCACUUAAUAAACUUGCGAGUUCAUGUAACUCUGUAUUUUUUUUAUCAUUAGGAUCUGCAACUGCUACUGCCCACCAAAAUAAGUUUCCAAUGGACCCAUUAUUCAUUGGUGGCUUUGUUUUCUUCCGUAGAUCUACUGCUUCAACUAAAAUCGAUGUUCUAGAGUCACUUCCUCUUCUUGAUUCCACCAUUGAUGAUGCUUGCAUA
rnacentral:lncRNA from 1 species